AACGAACGCUGGCGGCAUGCCUAACACAUGCAAGUCGAACGAGACCUUCGGGUCUAGUGGCGCACGGGUGCGUAACGCGUGGGAACCUGCCCUUAGGUUCGGAAUAACUCCCCGAAAGGGGUGCUAAUACCGGAUAAUGUCUUCGGACCAAAGAUUUAUCGCCUUUGGAUGGGCCCGCGUUGGAUUAGCUAGUUGGUAGGGUAAAAGCCUACCAAGGCGACGAUCCAUAGCUGGUCUGAGAGGAUGAUCAGCCACACUGGGACUGAGACACGGCCCAGACUCCAACGGGAGGCAGCAGUGGGGAAUAUUGGACAAUGGGCGAAAGCCUGAUCCAGCAAUGCCGCGUGAGUGAUGAAGGCCUUAGGGUUGUAAAGCUCUUUUACCCGGGAUGAUAAUAACAGUACCGGGAGAAUAAGCUCCGGCUAACUCCGUG
rnacentral:rRNA from 1 species